UUGGGCGCAUUUAACGCCGAGUCGAGCACGUUUGGGCGAAUUAUUUGUUUUGUGUUUCUUUAGCUUUAUCGGCGAAAUAAAAAUUGGGCGCAAUGUAAAAAGGAAUACGAUUACGGACGUGCACAAUUUACGGAGGGUCACCGAAGAAAGACGUCUAGAAAUCUCCCGAAAAUGGCUUUGGCACGGCUAUCUACAGUUGUUCGAAGGAAUUUCAGCACUUCAGUGAUUAGAAGAGCGGGCUACGGUGAAGGACCAGGCAGUAAUAUGCCAUUCAACAUCCACAAGAAAUGGCGUCUGCUCGGAAUAAUGACAGUCUUCUUUGGCUCAGCGUUUGCUGCUCCUUUCAUCCUGGUUCGCCACCAGCUCCUGAAGAAGUAGACGACCUGGCAACUUAGUAUGGUUUUUGUUCAUAAUUAUCCAGAUUGAUUUGGUUGAGUGAGAAGAGGACCCACGAUGGACAUCUGAAGUGACGCUUGUUGACAUCAUUUGAGAAGAAUUCCAGCUAUAAAUAACAUUACAGCCAUAUUACCAUCUCACUUUGUGGCACUGGCUGCUAAACCUACAAUUGUGUGUACAUGUACACUCGGUAGAUCUUCAAAGAUUUUGCAUGAAAAAAAUCCCUGGCUCUUUUUUUUAUUAAAUGAGACAGAAAGUUGCAAUGUGUUGAAAACGCCCUGUAACAGUCCACAAAAAAACACACAAAAAUUGAUCGAUAGUGAAUUUGGUAAAACUCCCUAGCCAAGUUUCAAUUUCACCUCACCUGUUCAUUGUGUGCAUUCAAAAAGUGUGUCUGAUUUAGCUGUUAGUAAUACUGUAAAUUACUAUGAUUUUUCAAAGCUACAUGUAAUACAAAAAUGUAUGUUAUUUACGUUAGGUUGCUUUGCAUAAGGCAAGGGAAGUUAUAGCCUUUGAUUUUGAAACCCAACUUUAAUAUGAAGAAGCUAAUGUAAUUUCUGGAGUUUUGUUUAAUAAUGUGUUGAUUGACUUUUUCUUGUGUGUGUUAAAUUUAACUCUUCGGUACAUGUAGCAUGAAAAACCACAAGACGUUUAAAUUUGAAUUGGCUAGUUUCAUACUUGUGAACCACUGUCCUUUAUAGCGCUGAUAUUUUGCGAAAUAACAAGUGUAAGAUUUCUUCCUUGAGAUUUUGAAAGGAAUAUUUAAAAUCUUCUAUCAGUUGACUCACUUUUAAGAUCAGGAAGGUCACGAUUAACAAGCUGUAAAUCCAGACUUCAGGUUCAUACAUGUAAUAAGUUUCUCACAUGAGGGAUUAAAAGAGUUUUAUUCACAAAACUUAA